UUCCGGUUGAUCCUGCCGGAGGCCACCGCUAUUGGAAUCCGAUUAAGACAUGUGAGUCGAGAGUCUUCGGGACUCGGCAGACGGCUCAGUAACACGCGGAUAAUCUGCCCUUGGGUGGGGGAUAAUCUCGGGAAACUGAGCAUAAUACCCCAUAGGCCUGAGAUGCUGGAACGCCCUCAGGCUAAAAGCUCCGGCGCCCAAGGAUGAGUCUGCGGCCUAUCAGCUUGUAGUUGGUGUAAAUGACCAACUAGGCGACGACGGGUACGGGCAUUGGGAGAUGUAGCCCGGAGAUGGACUCUGAGACACGAGUCCAGGCCCUACGGGGCGCAGCAGUCGCGAAAACUUCACAAUGUGGGAAACCGCGAUGAGGGGAUUCCAAGUGCUUGCGUUUUGCGUAAGCUGUUCUCCUGCCUAAAAAGCAGGGGGAGUAAGGGCUGGGUAAGACGGGUGCCAGCCGCCGCGGUAAUACCCGCAGCCCAAGUGGUGGUCGAUAUUAUUGAGCUUAAAGCGUCCGUAGCCUGUCUGGUAAAUUCUUGGGUAAAUCGUGCAGCUUAACUGUCCGAAUUCCGGGGAGACUGCCGGACUUGGGACCGGGAGAGGUUGGAGGUACUCCUGGGGUAGGGGUAAAAUCCCGUAAUCCUGGGAGGACCAUCAGUGGCGAAGGCGUCCAACUGGAACGGAUCCGACGGUCAGGGACGAAGCCCUGGGUCGCGAACUGGAUUAGAUACCCAGGUAGUCCAGGGUGUAAACGCUGCAGACUUGGUGUCGGAGGUCCUACGAGGGCGUCCGGUGCCGGAGAGAAAUUGUUAAGUCUGCCGCUUGGGGAGUACGUCCGCAAGGAUGAAACUUAAAGGAAUUGGCGGGAGAGCACCGCAACGGGAGGAGCGUGCGGUUCAAUUGAAUCAACGCCGG
rnacentral:rRNA from 1 species